rnacentral:rRNA from 2 species
AAACUUUCAACAACGGAUCUCUUGGUUCUGGCAUCGAUGAAGAACGCAGCGAAAUGCGAUAAGUAAUGUGAAUUGCAGAAUUCAGUGAAUCAUCGAAUCUUUGAACGCACAUUGCGCCCGUCAGUAUUCUGGCGGGCAUGCCUGUUCGAGCGUCAUUU